CGAUAGUCUCCCUUGGUGUCACAACUUCCCGUGUGCUCUUGGUUCUGGGACACCACCAACCCACUGCUCUAGCAUGUCGGGGGUCAACCUGGGAGGCCCUUCUUUGCUCGCCGCCUUGACCUGGAAGCUUGGGUCAGCAGACCUAAGGCCAUCCUGGCAGCUGUACUGCUCACCCUGACCUACCAAGCAGUUUACAUUUGAACAUCAUUCUUCAGGGAUUCAUGUACGUACUCAGUAUUAAAGUACUGAUAUCUAAUUGUUAUAGAA